AGUAAAGCUAUAGCGCCAUGCACCUGGGUCGGGUCGUGAACAGUAACGGAUGAAUGAAUAAUAACUUACUGCUGACACAGGUUAACGAGGUGGAGAGAGAAUCGAACAUAUUCGGCGGGUGCUCUCCCAUGCAGUCCGGGCGUGUUUUAUACCAGAAAAAUAUGCGGGUAACUGCAAAACAAAGCUGGUAUAACCGGACAGA
rnacentral:ncRNA from 2 species